ACACAAAGGAGACCUGGGCUGCA
rnacentral:siRNA from 1 species